rnacentral:tRNA from 1 species
UGUGGCUGGAUCACCUCCUUUCUAAGGAUGAUCAAGAAUAGGGCUUUUAAAAAAAAAUCCCUCCCUUUUUGAUCUCAUUAGACACAAGGUUUGAACUUGAGUUAGUUUAAACCGUGCAUAUGACGCUAACUCUCAAUAAAUCCCUCUCACAAAAAAGAGACCCCUCUUUGCUAACAAAGAGGAUCCCCCCCCGUCUCUUUGAGGCCCCUACCUCUGUUGAGAGAACUAUUUGAGGGCUUAGUGCUCAUGUGUUGACAUUAUAAAAGCAGACAUGCCGUCUUCGUUUCUCUUUCUUCAGAUGAUGGAUCCCAAGCCUUCUGGCGAUCUCUUAAAAUAAAGCCCGGUCUGUUUCAAUAAACAGGAUGUUUAGACAUAUGUUUAAAUUCUACGGUUCUUAAAGACCAUAAAUUUAAAAAAGGCUUUAUGAAGAAAGCUCUUUAUGCUUUUCCAGUGAUUUAAGAUGAUACCGGGGAAGGUUUUCCGGUUUAUCCCGGAGGGCUUGUAGCUCAGUUGGUUAGAGCGCGCGCUUGAUAAGCGUGAGGUCGGAGGUUCAAGUCCUCCCAGGCCCACCAAUUUAUGCUCGUUUUUUGCUUAUCCAAGAGUAUGAAGCUUAAGCGUAUUAAAGCCUCUUUUAAUCUUUGUUUAUUUUAAAGAUUUAAUUUUAUCAUUCAAAGAUUGUUUGUUAAAUUUAUUCUAUUAAGUUUGUCAAAGGGGGAGUUUGUCAAAGGAGGUUUUUAAAUCCCUUCAUUUUGAAAUUCCUUCAAGGUAUAGAGAAAUUUAAAUGAUGUAUAGAGAAAUUUAAAUGAUGCAAAUCAAAAUAGUACAAAUCAAAGUCGUAUAAAUGAUUCAAGUUGAUAAAUUUUCUUGAGGUUGAUUUGAGAGAGCAUUCUUUAGGGGCCGUAGCUCAGCUGGGAGAGCACCUGCUUUGCAAGCAGGGGGUCGUCGGUUCGAUCCCGUCCGGCUCCACCACUUUAUGGUUCAUCAUCAUGUUGUAAGAACAUUGUUUUGCGAGAGGUUUUUGUUACUUCUUGCCUGUUCUAUUGAAAUUGUGAAGAGAAGAUAUAUUCAGACAUGAUUUUUUGU